rnacentral:rRNA from 1 species
UACGUAGGUGACAAGCGUUGUCCGGAUUUACUGGGCGUAAAGAGCGCGCAGGCGGUCGAUCAAGUCGAGUGUGAAAGCCCCCGGCUCAACUGGGGAGGGUCAUUCGAUACUGAUCGACUCGAAGGCAGGAGAGGGUAGUGGAAUUCCCGGUGUAGUGGUGAAAUGCGUAGAUAUCGGGAGGAACACCAGUGGCGAAGGCGACUACCUGGCCUGUUCUUGACGCUGAGGCGCGAAAGCUAGGGGAGCAAAC